rnacentral:lncRNA from 1 species
UGCUGAGCUAUUGAGCGUCGUUACAAAGUGAAGCCUCGUUCAGCAAACCACCAGUAAGAAUAAUUUCGGUGUCUUUUUAAUCUCUGUGGACUGGCAUCGGAACUAUCAAAAUGCUCUUUGGGAAAAACUCCUGUCUUGUUGUCUCUGUUCGCAAAUGACGGUGGUGAGGGGAGAGAAAGACCCUGGUAGAUACUUAAGAUUUGACUCAUUGAUGCUGAAAUCGAAAUCUAUAGAACUUAACCACUGCCCAGAGAUGGGAAUCUACUCUCCUCCAGGAGGAAGAAAAGGUUGAAUGAACGGCGCAGCCAAUUACACGCUCAUUGAAUGGUAAAAAGGCCGGCCCCCAGGAAUUUUGCUGUCCUUGGCUGAUUUAACGAAUGCAACGCAGCAGAGAUAAAUCCUGUCACAAGUUUCCCAGCUAUAUAAUCGCCGUUGCAAGAGCAGAGAUGGCCUGCUGGACCCCUUUUGAGUCCUGCUCACUGCAGCAGAACCACACUUAACUCUCCUGCUGAAACUGGAGGGCUCUGUUUUCAGCUGGAUUUGGGAACUCUGGAUUUGCAACACAAUGGGCCUUGGGGCUGCCUUUAAGCCACCCCUUCACGUUUCCAAGCUUUGGAAGCAGGGCCUUGUUUUCAAGACGGAUUUCUGCUGGCUGAGUGGUUGGGAAGUUUCCUUGUUUGGAGAGGGUGAGAGAAUGUCUUGCAGCGGCGCUCACAAACGUUAGCAAGAAAUUGUGCUCUAUCCAGACAAGCAAUUCCACUUUUAUACACAAUUAUUUCUUUUAAAAAGGGAGGAAGGGAGAGGAUGGGAGGGUUGGUUAUCUUUUUAAAAAACCAGAAUUAGUUGGAAAAAAUCUGGUUUACCCCGCUUCGCCUCGACCACUUCCCCCCCCACAAAAAAAAUUAACUCAACUUCUCUUGCUGGGAUAUUGACCCGGGGAAAGAAGUUGGGGUAACGGCCUGGAUGUUUUUUUUUCGGGGGGGCAAUCCUGAAAAGAGGAGGCUGUCUAGGUGCGCAUCAGCGGGGGCUUUCCCCCUCCCUGUUACCCCCCCGGCGGCCCAAACGGUAAAGG